UUCUUGUGACAAGUGGCCUGGUUCUUGUUAUUUACUAGGUCUAUAUUGUUGUGGUGGGUACAUAACGAUCGAGUACUGUCGUUCUGCUCUUGCCAUCGCUGUCGUCAUUGAUUAGAUUAGAUUAAUGCUUGUUCCAUAGAUCAUGAAUACGACACUUCGUAAUGAUGUGGAACGUGUUUAUUGAAGGUUUUGAUGACAGACUAAUCAGUAGCUUAGGUUGACGUGUAGGUUUAGUGUCAGCCAGAGCUAAAAUAUGGUCUGGGGAAAAUUUAAAAUCUCGAGCUUUUAUUCGUUUUAAAAUAUAAAUUCCUUGUUAAGUAGUGCCAGGUGCUGAUGGCUCGGGAGAGGGUAACGAUCGAUAUGACGGGAUGGUACGAGCCGGUCAGUCAAUCGAACGCCUUCUUUUGUCUUGCUCGGUGGUGUCAGUGAUUUUGUUUGGGCUGUAAUGGUUCGACGGCAUCUGUAGGUUUACUGACAGUCCGCGAUCUUCCUAUCAAUUUAUGAAUUACAUAAAAGAUAGCUUCAUCUAUUGUGAAAACCAGAGGUCUACAAUUGUCUCUUGAAAAGAGACGUGCAUUACAAGAGUCUAUCAAACAAACAAGAGAAUUGUCAAAAGCACGCAAAGAACAGUUUUUGGAGGAAAAGAAAGCAAAGAAACUGAGGCGGAAGCUUAAUCUUGAAAGACAGGAGGCAAACAGAAGAAAAUCUGAA